rfam:Perkinsus marinus ATCC 50983 gcontig_1104296596500, whole genome shotgun sequence.
GACAGCGUGUCCGAGUGGUUAAGAGGUGGACUUGAAAUCCAUUACGCUCUGCCUGCGCAGUUCGAAUCCUGCCGCUGUCG